UACGGAGGGUGCAAACGUUGCGUCGGAAUUAUUGGGCGUAAAGCGCACGUAGGCGGUCCGCUAAGUCGGAUGUGAAAGCCCUAGGCCUCAACCUGGGAAGGUGCAUUCGAAACUGACGGACUUGAAUAUGGAAGAGGGGUCGCGGAAUUCCCGGUGUAGAGGUGAAAUUCGUAGAUAUCGGGAGGAACACCAGUGGGCGAAGGCGGCGACCUGG
rnacentral:rRNA from 1 species